rnacentral:rRNA from 1 species
AUUGAACGCUGGCGGCAUGCCUUACACAUGCAAGUCGAACGGCAGCACGGGUGCUUGCACCUGGUGGCGAGUGGCGAACGGGUGAGUAAUACAUCGGAACAUACCUUAUCGUGGGGGAUAACGCAGCGAAAGCUGUGCUAAUACCGCAUACGCCCUGAGGGGGAAAGCGGGGGAUCGCAAGACCUCGCGCGAUUAGAGCGGCCGAUGCCUGAUUAGCUAGUUGGUGGGGUAAAAGCCCACCAAGGCGACGAUCAGUAGCUGGUCUGAGAGGACGAUCAGCCACACUGGGACUGAGAAACGGCCCAGACUCCUACGGGAGGCAGCAGUGGGGAAUUUUGGACAAUGGGGGCAACCCUGAUCCAGCAAUGCCGCGUGAGUGAAGAAGGCCUUCGGGUUGUAAAGCUCUUUUGUCAGGGAAGAAACACCGGCUCUAACACAGUCCGGGAAUGACGGUACCUGAAGAAUAAGCACCGGCUAACUACGUGCCAGCCGCCGCAGUAA